AUUGAACGCUGGCGGCAUGCCUUACACAUGCAAGUCGAACGGCAGCACGGGUGCUUGCACCUGGUGGCGAGUGGCGAACGGGUGAGUAAUACAUCGGCACAUGUCCUGUAGCGGGGGCUAGCCCGGCGAAAGCCGGAUUAAUACCGCAUACGAUCUACGGAUGAAAGAGGGGGACCUUCGGGCCUCGCGCUAUAGGGUUGGCCGAUGGCUGAUUAGCUAGUUGGUGGGGUAAAGGCCUACCAAGGCGACGAUCAGUAGCUGGUCUGAGAGGACGACCAGCCACACUGGGACUGAGACACGGCCCAGACUCCUACGGGAGGCAGCAGUGGGGAAUGUUGGACAAUGGGCGAAAGCCUGAUCCAGCAAUGCCACGUGUGUGAAGAAGGCCUUCGGGUUGUAAAGCACUUUUGUCCGGAAAGAAAUCCUUGGUCCUAAUACGGUCGGGGGAUGACGGUACCGGAAGAAUAAGCACCGGCUAACUACGUG
rnacentral:rRNA from 1 species